GAUGAACGCUGGCGGCGUGCCUAAUACAUGCGAGUCGAGCGAACAGACGAGGAGCUUGCUCCUCUGACGUUAGCGGCGGACGGGUGAGUAACACGUGGAUAACCUACCUAUAAGACUGGGAUAACUUCGGGAAACCGGAGCUAAUACCGGAUAAUAUAUUGAACCGCAUGGUUCAAUAGUGAAAGACGGUUUUGCUGUCACUUAUAGAUGGAUCCGCGCCGCAUUAGCUAGUUGGUAAGGUAACGGCUUACCAAGGCAACGAUGCGUAGCCGACCUGAGAGGGUGAUCGGCCACACUGGAUCUGAGACACGGUCCAGACUCCUACGGGAGGCAGCAGUAGGGAAUCUUCCGCAAUGGGCGAAAGCCUGACGGAGCAACGCCGCGUGAGUGAUGAAGGUCUUCGGAUCGUAAAACUCUGUUAUUAGGGAAGAACAAAUGUGUAAGUAACUAUGCACGUCUUGACGGUACCUAAUCAGAAAGCCACGGCUAACUACGUG
rnacentral:rRNA from 1 species